ensembl:lncRNA
GUCCGAAGGGCCCUCUCCAUCCCCGGGAGACUCGGUGUGCGAGGGGGUGGGGGCUUCUGGGAUGCGGGCGACCCAGCCCCGAAUUGCGGGACUCCGCGGGGUCUCGCUGCCCCCUCCCGGCCGGCCGCGCGCUUCCUUGCCCGCUCCGCGUCUCUGCUUCUGUCCCCUCCGUCUCUGCGUCUCUCGUCUGCAUUCUUCUCCGCGCGCUUUCCUCCUCCCGGGCUCGGGAGUCGGCCGGUGCGUCGUCUCCGCUGUCGCGCGGCCUCCUGGGCUCCAUCGCCCCCCUGUCCGGGACACGAUUAUCUCCCCCUUCGAACGGCCCCAGGUUGUCAGUGCGGCCCCACGACAGCCUGGCAGGGCGAGCAGUGUCCCCAGCUUAGGAUUGAGGAUUCAGGCCCACCGACUCCAGAUCACACAGACUGCAGCGUGGGGGAAGACAGAGCUGGGUCCAGCGCUCUUUCCAGCAGGGAAAUGACAUGAGCCAGUGUGUGUGCUCCAGAGCUCAGCCCUGUGCGUGGCGGGCUGCCUUGGAGGGGCUCUGGGAAGAUGUGAGGGUGAGGGCAGCUGGCCGGCUCAGAAGAGAGACGCCUUCAGAUACACCCAAUGUGGCCCCAAGAAAGGCAGAGACAAGCACCGCGGGAGCCUGAGGCCACGUCUCCCUGCAGGGCCAGGGGGCAAGCCCCAUCCCAGGAGUGGAAGAGAGGAGGGGGCCGGGAGGCCCUGGUGGAUGCGACGCAGAAGCAGGCCACGACCGACCGUGCUGCUGCCCUUUGCUGUGGUCCCGCUUUCCUCCGGGAUGUCCCGAGUGGCUUCACUGGAAGUCAUCCUCCUGGAGGACCUGGAGGAGGGAAGCACUGGGCCUCAGGACCUCCAAGCCAAUCAUCUGAGCCUGGGGCUCUCAGGGCUGAGAAAAGACCGGGGUUUUGGGUGUGUGUGCAUGUGUGCCUGUGUGUGUGUGUGUGCCUCUGUGUGUGUGUGCCUCCGUGUGUGUGUAGGCGUGUGUGCCUCCGUGUGUAUCUGUGUGUGUGUGUCUGCAGACCUCAGAGAGGGAGGCUUCACCCUGCGGCCGGAGGAGGUGGUGAACUCAGGGUGCGUCCCCGCCGAGCCUCUCGUGUCCUGCCGCCGCCGCGCGAGGGGCCUGCCUCGGCUACUCCCAGGCGCACAGGGGCCUGAGCCGGCGGGCGCCGAGAACCUGGGCCCAGGGACGGCCUGGACCCCACCGACACUGGCCCAGGAGCGCAGCCUCAGUCUCACUGCCGGGUCGGUUCUGCCCAAGGUCACCGCGCGCCGCUCGGAUUC